rnacentral:lncRNA from 1 species
AGAGAUUAGCAGAGGAAAUGGCAGCGUAUCCCUGUCCGCAGACUCCUAAGAGGCUGGGAGGUAUUUAUAGCCAUGAGUAGGAGAGCUGCUGUGAGUAAAAGAUGGGUGCAUGUAUACUUUCUUUACCAGUUCAUCUACUUAAGCUCCUCUGGUUACAAGCAUCAGUUUAAUCCGUUUAGCACUUUCUUUUGAAAAUAUGUAGAGAUAGUUGUGAGGCCCUUUGAAUGAUCACUAAGUAAUUUUUGUAGACAGUGGCCGGGGGAAGGGCCUGUCAUUCACUCGUUUCACCAGUUAGGACAGCAGAGAAGGAUGUGACGAUAUUCUCCACGAAUCUGUUCUGGGGCUUGAAUCAACUGUCUCCCAGCAGCGGGAGAGCAGGGUGUCUGGAAGGUGCCUGCGCUCCACGUUUGCCGCUAGGAAUGGGGACGGGGGGCCUGAAAACAGGAUCCCCCGGAAGCCAGCGUCCUCUGCUCCUGCGCGCUCUGCAGGGCCCCCACCCGGAUCCCGGAUUCACAGAAUAGUGCGCUGGGGCUGCUGCGAUGUACUGCUCCGGUUUCCACUAGAGGCUUCUGGGCACCCUGGCUCGCCCUGCUCCACGAAGGCCAGAGAGGCUGGGCCGGACUCUCAGCAGUGACGCUUCUAAAUGGGGUUUCUUUCUCCACUCCUCAAGGGCUACCCUCCGUAGUGACGCGGGCCUUGGGCCCCUGCAGACCAGGAACCUCUGACUUGUGCCUUGGACCCCGACGUUCCUCCUGCCGGUCUGGCGGUUCCUGGAGGCCUCCUGGGCUUCUGCCUGGAACAUCUGAGGCAAUUCCGGCCGAGAGCGCGGCUUCUGCGGGUCCUGCGCUGGAACCAUCAUUUUUCUUAAAUGUUUGGAAUUUUGCCAAAGGGAUGUUACCUGAUGCAUUGAAAAUCUCAACAGCUCCAGGGCUGAGUUGCCAGUGGGUGCUGGCUGGACCCAGGGCCAGGCGUGUGUGUCUCCAGGGGAUGCCAGCUCCCACCACUGUUCACGCCAAGGAUGAAACAGCCCA